GGUCUCAUAGCUCAGCCGGUAAGAGCAAGGUGCUCAUAACUCCGAGGUCGUAGGUUCGAACCCUACUGAGACCA
rnacentral:tRNA from 1 species